GGCUCCGUAGAUCAGUGGUAGAUCGUUGGUUUCCGGCUUACCUGCCCAGUUGGGUGAGAAGAUGAGCGCCAAAGGUCGCGCGUUCGAGUCGCGCCGGAGUCG